CCUACGGGGGGCAGCAGUAGGGAAUAUUGCUCAAUGGGGGAAACCCUGAAGCAGCAACGCCGCGUGGAGGAUGAAGGUUUUAGGAUUGUAAACUCCUUUUGUUAGAGAAGAUUAUGACGGUAUCUAACGAAUAAGCACCGGCUAACUCCGUGCCAGCAGCCGCGGUAAUACGGUGGGUGCAAGCGUUACUCUGGAUCACUGGGCGUAACGAGUGCGGAGGCGGGGUAAUAAGUCAGAUGUGAAAUCCUGUAGCUUAACUACAGAAUUGCAUUUGAAACUGUUACUCUGGAGUGUGAGAGAGGUAGGUGGAAUUCUUGGUGGAGGGGUAAAAUCCGUAGAGAUAAAGAGGAAUACUCAUGGCGAAGGCGACCUGCUGGAACAAUACUGACGCUGAUGGACGAAAGCGUGGGGAGCAAACAGGAUUAGAUACCCGAGUAGUC
rnacentral:rRNA from 1 species